rnacentral:rRNA from 4 species
GCUUACGGCCAUACCACCCUGAACACGCCCGAUCUCGUCUGAUCUCGGAAGCUAAGCAGGGUCGGGCCUGGUUAGUACUUGGAUGGGAGACCGCCUGGGAAUACCAGGUGCUGUAAGCUUUU